GGGUUGUGAGGUUAAGCGACUAAGCGUACACGGUGGAUGCCCUGGCAGUCAGAGGCGAUGAAGGGCGUGCUAAUCUGCGAUAAGCGCCGGUAAGGUGAUAUGAACCGUUAUAACCGGCGAUACCCGAAUGGGGAAACCCAGUGUGACUCGUCACACUAUCAUUAACUGAAUCCAUAGGUUAAUGAGGCGAACCGGGGGAACUGAAACAUCUAAGUACCCCGAGGAAAAGAAAUCAACCGAGAUUCCCCCAGUAGCGGCGAGCGAACGGGGAGGAGCCCAGAGCCUGAAUCAGCAUGUGUGUUAGUGGAAGCGUCUGGAAAGGCGCGCGAUACAGGGUGACAGCCCCGUACACAAAAGCGCAUGUGCUGUGAGCUCGAUGAGUAGGGCGGGACACGUGGUAUCCUGUCUGAAUAUGGGGGGACCAUCCUCCAAGGCUAAAUACUCCUGACUGACCGAUAGUGAACCAGUACCGUGAGGGAAAGGCGAAAAGAACCCCGGCGAGGGGAGUGAAAAAGAACCUGAAACCGUGUACGUACAAGCAGUGGGAGCACCCUUUGGGUGUG
rnacentral:rRNA from 1 species